rnacentral:rRNA from 1 species
UAAUACGGUCAGGCUAGAGUGUGGAAGAGGGUCGUGGAAUUCCCAGUGUAGAGGUGAAAUUCGUAGAUAUUGGGAAGAACACCGGUGGCGAAGGCGGCGACCUGGUCCAUUACUGACGCUGAGGCGCGAAAGCGUGGGGAGCAAACAGGA